rnacentral:rRNA from 1 species
UACAGAGGGGGCUAGCGUUGUUCGGAGUUACUGGGCGUAAAGGGCGCGUAGGCGGCCUGUUAAGUCGAACGUGAAAUCCCCGGGCUCAACCCGGGAACUGCGUCCGAUACUGGCAGGCUUGAAUCCGGGAGAGGGAUGUGGAAUUCCAGGUGUAGCGGUGAAAUGCGUAGAUAUCAGGAGGAACACCAGUGGCGAAGGCGGCUCACUGGCCCGGUACUGACGCUGAGGUGCGAAAGCGUGGGGAGCAAACAGG